CAAACUUCUGACACCUCCUUCGUGGAGCAUGUGACGGGCGCAAGCAGCCAGUGAGCCGAACCUGUUCAAUCCGUGAACCUGUGAAUAAAUCAGAUCAAUUUACUUGUAGAAAGACUUUCAAACGAUCUAAAGGAGCAGUUGAUGUUCGAGAAACGGCGCCUGCAACUCCUCCAGCCAGGAGAUGCCUCCACCACAUCCCCGACAGCAUUUCUUGAAGGGUAAAAUCAUCCGGUACGGUGACGGAUUCGCCAACAUCCAAGUACUGUUACGAAAUAAGUCACAGGGGGAAGGACAAAAUCAAAUUAUUAUGUAUCCAUUACACCAAAAUGUCAUAACGCGUGUUUCAUAAUGAUUGCGUCGUCUCGACGUUGAUCAAAUAAAAAUGCCCCCCAAAACGA